CAUGCUGGAUGAUCUCUAUCUUCCCCUUCAGGUAGAUAUGCUCUCCAAUACCAGUCCCGGUCUUGAAUAGUGACAAAAUACUUACCAUCUAAUCUCUUCUCUGAUUCAGUUCUCUCUUGCCCACCAAACAUUGGGUGAAGAAUGAUAUUACCCAAAACUUCAAUUUCUGCUUCUGCUGCCCUCACUGCAACAUGGUGAGCAAUAUUUCCACCUGAACUAUCCCCAGCCAAGUAUACAUGGACCUUGGAAUCCUCUCCACUUUGAAGCCAAGUUCUUGAUUUAACCCACUUAAGAGCUGCCCAACCAUCAUCAUAUGC
rnacentral:misc_RNA from 1 species